rnacentral:lncRNA from 1 species
GCUGACUAUGCUGUAUGAGUUUGCUCAUUGUUGAAGACCUUACGAUGACCUAUAGUUGUUAAUUUCUGUGUAAUAUUGUCGUCGGCUGAGAGUUGUCUCAUUGGCAAUGAUACCUCAUAUUCGUAUGUGUUAUGUAUACCCAUACCAGUGAUAUUGUUUGCCUUAAAUUACCAAAGAAUAAAGGCUUUUUCCCCUUGAGAAAAAUCCCAAUUUGAAAAAAAAAUGGCUUAAAAUUAUUCCCCAAAAGACAACUUUUUUCCCAAACAGUGCAGUCACAGUAGUAAUAGUGCAU